rnacentral:rRNA from 1 species
ACGGGUGAGUAACACGUAUGCAACCUGCCUGCCACAGCCGGAUAAUCGGGAGAAAUUCCGUCUAAUACGGCAUAAUGCAUCGACGGGACAUCCUGUUGGUGCCAAAGGUUGAUUCCGGUGGCGGAUGGGCAUGCGUCGCAUUAGUUAGUUGACGGUGUAACGGACCACCAAGACGACGAUGCGUAGGGGUUCUGAGAGGAAGGUCCCCCACACUGGUACUGAGACACGGACCAGACUCCUACGGAAGGCAGCAG